GUAGCUGUAGCUCAGUGGUAGAGCAUUUGUCUAGCAUGCAUGAAGCACUGGGUUUGAUCCUCAGCACCAUAUA
rnacentral:tRNA from 1 species